rnacentral:tmRNA from 1 species
GGGGGUGAAAGGUCUCGACUUAGGAUAGUUGGGUAAGAGCAGCAUGCCGCGGAGGCAAGGUCGGCCGCGUUAACAAUCCUUGCACAAUUAAACGCAAAACCAACAAUGGUUAACCGUCUACCAGUAGCCGGAUCAGUAAUGGUUCAGCCUCCGGUAGCGGGCGUUCCAGCCUUUAGCUUAAUAUAAGCUAAAGCCUCUCACCAGGUUGCCUGUGGCUUGAAUGAGAGCCCUUAGCAGGAUAGUUCUGGCCAGUUUGCCUUUGGGGCCAGGGCGAAAUUAAAAAGGCUGCGCCCGGAUGUAUCCUGCCUGUCGGAGCCGUCGGGGUUAAGUUUAAAAGAUCAGGCUAAGCAUGUAGUGGCUCUUAUGCUUCUACUUAAGGACGCGGCUUCAAUGCCGCCACCUCCACCA